CCUUCGUUAACGUCCCUUCCCCUCAGCGAGAUGCAUGUGAACUCUGGCUUCUUCGGCUCUUCAGAUCUCAGAUCUGGCCGUGUAGUGCGGUUUCCGAGCUUCUGGAGUCACAGCGAGUUGAGUCAGGAAGGUGUCGUUGUCGGAGGUCGGCUUUUAGGGUUGGAUUUUGGAUGGAGCUAUUUUCCCCUUGUCGCUCCGUGUACCUCCGUAGAUGUCUAAUCUGUGCCGUCG
rnacentral:lncRNA from 1 species